GCUAACAAAUACAGUGUGGGUAAACUCUUAAUUUGAAAAACAAUGAAUGCAUAUCCUGCCAAUCAGAUUUAGCACCACCCACAGGGGAAAAUCAGAAUAUCAAGUGUUUUUCUGAUUUCCGUGCAAGAACGGGAAAACCAAAAAUCAAGUCAUAAUUUCGUUUUUUCGUUUUUCUAAAAAAAACCGGAAAAACGGAAAAAGGAGUUGUUUUCAUAUGUGAAAACAAAAACAAAUGAUCGGAUGAUACACGGGUCACGGACCUAUUGUCUUCUUCGUGUGUUGCACUUGGAAGUUUGCCGCAAUUUGGAAAACAGUUAAAAGAAGCCUGGAAAACCUCAAUCAUGCAGUGAUUGUAAGUUAAUGACUCAGUAUUUCUUGAGUAAUUUCGUAUUGACACCAUGGCUGCACUGGAACCAUAUGCUGAUUUAAUUAAAGACUUAUUUGAAACUGGCAAGACACGUAGAGAUUUCCAUAACGCUGCAGCAGAUGGGUAUCCAGCGAUGUUCUGAAAUGAGUGUGAGAAGAUUCUGUGUUCAGCACAACCUUAAGCGAAAAAGACAUGUAUCAGACACAGAACUGGAGAGGGCUGUUGUUGGAUCAAUAUAUGAAAUGGGCCCAUCUUAUGGCCGCAAGUUCAUGACUGGCUAUCUGUCUUCAAUGGGGGUGCAUGCAGGAGAAUGUCGAGUUGGGAAAAUCCUCAGAGAGAUUCAUCAGCCAUACCACGAAUUCCGACGCCAGAAUCUUUGAGUGGAAAGGAUUUGGCCUGAGGUUAACAAUCGUGUUAACUACCCAUUGAAACAGGCCCUGGUACACCUGCUGGACCAAGAAGUCCUCAACAUGGAGGACAAUAUGACUAAAUUCUGCAUUUCAACCCUGACAUGUCAGUUAAGCCAAAUUGGACUAGGCAGAGUGGUGCAAUCGUGGAAUGCACACAGGAUCCCAGGACGUGGGAUACCCAAUGAACUCGCAGCAGGUGGCUGUCCAGCUAAAAUCUCUGAAGAGCUGCUGCCCAAUGCCUCUGUUGUGGCAAACAUGUACGAGCAAGAGUUUGGAUCCUCGCUGAGUUGGGUGUCAGUUUUUGGAACUGACCCAUUUUCAUCUGAGGAGGAUAGAUGUCAUGCAGAACAAGACUUUGCAGAAAACUACCCUGACAUCUCUCUUCUUUUUAAUCAUGUGGUAAACAAUGACUAUACACCUUUCCAAGAUGCCUUGUUGUACCUCAUAAAUGUCACCCAAAGAUAUGUCUGAAAAAAAUAACUGAAAUGCUGUGGUGUUGUUAAGUAGCUAGGAAAACAGACUGUGUUGUGCUACAGUGGUGAUUCAAAGUUUGUCAACCAUUUAUGCAAUUAUAGUUUUUAUAUAAAAUCUUAAUUGGCCUCCACACUGUUGGAAUCAACUAUGGAUCGGUCUCAGUGUGCUUUGUUCUUUACUUCAUCAAACUGUAAUCAGUCUGCAUAGAGCCUCUAUUGAUACCCUCUUAAAUUGUUGUUUUUACUGUAUGUUGGAUGAGAGCACCCUGGAUAACCCUGCUCUUAAAAAAAA